rnacentral:rRNA from 1 species
UACGUAGGGGGCUAGCGUUGUCCGGAAUCAUUGGGCGUAAAGGGUGCGUAGGCGGCGCGGUAAGUCGGGUGUGAAAUCUCGGAGCUUAACUCCGAAACUGCAUUCGAUACUGCGGUGCUUGAGGACUGGAGAGGAGACUGGAAUUCAUGGUGUAGCAGUGAAAUGCGUAGAGAUCAUGAGGAAGACCAGUGGCGAAGGCGGGUCUCUGGACAGUUCCUGACACUGAGACACGAAGGCCAGGGGAGCAAACGGG